rnacentral:rRNA from 1 species
ACGGCUACCUUGUUACGACUUCACCCCAAUUAUCAGACCCACCUUCGACUGCGCCCCCCUUGCGGUUGGGCUACAGGCUUCGGGUGUUUCCGACUCUCAUGGUGUGACGGGCGGUGUGUACAAGGCCCGGGAACGUAUUCACCGCGGCAUGCUGAUCCGCGAUUACUAGCAAUUCCGACUUCAUGCAGGCGGGUUGCAGCCUGCAAUCUGAACUGAGACGGCUUUUAGGGAUUUGCUCCACAUCGCUGUCUUGCUUCCCUCUGUAUGGCCGCCAUUGUAGUACGUGUGUAGCCCAGGACAUAAAGGGCAUGAUGAUUUGACGUCGUCCCCACCUUCCUCCGUUUUGUCAACGGCAGUCUCGCUAGAGUGCUCUUGCGUAGCAACUAACAAUAAGGGUUGCGCUCGUUGCGGGACUUAACCCAACAUCUCACGACACGAACUGACGACAACCAUGCACCACCUGUGUGGG